rnacentral:rRNA from 1 species
UCUUAGUGGCGGACGGGUGAGUAACGCGUGGGUAACCUGCCUUGCACUGGGGGAUAACACUUAGAAAUAGGUGCUAAUACCGCAUAAGCGCACGGUCCCGCAUGGGACAGUGUGAAAAACUCCGGUGGUGCAAGAUGGACCCGCGUCUGAUUAGCUGGUUGGCGGGGUAAAGGCCCACCAAGGCGACGAUCAGUAGCCGGCCUGAGAGGGUGGACGGCCACAUUGGGACUGAGACACGGCCCAAACUCCUACGGAAGGCAGCAG